rnacentral:rRNA from 1 species
UACGUAGGGUGCGAGCGUUGUCCGGAAUUAUUGGGCGUAAAGAGCUCGUAGGCGGCUGCUCAAGUCGAAUGUGAAAACUCGAGGCUCAACCUCGAGCCUGCAUUCGAUACUGGGCGGCUAGAGUCUGGUAGGGGGAUCUGGAAUUCCUGGUGUAGCGGUGGAAUGCGCAGAUAUCAGGAGGAACACCGGUGGCGAAGGCGGGAUCCUGGGCCAGUACUGACGCUGAGGAGCGAAAGCGUGGGGAGCAAACAGG